rnacentral:rRNA from 1 species
UGACAUGCCAGGAACCUCGCAGAGAUGUGAGGUGCCCGAAAGGGAACCUGGACACAGGUGCUGCAUGGCUGUCGUCAGCUCGUGUCGUGAGAUGUUGGGUUAAGUCCCGCAACGAGCGCAACCCUUGCCAUUAGUUGCCACAUUCAGUUGGGCACUCUAAUGGGACUGCCGGUGACAAACCGGAGGAAGGUGGGGAUGGCGUCAAGUCCUCAUGGCCCUUAUGGGUAGGGCUUCACACGUAAUACAAUGGCCGGUACAGAGGGCAGCCAACCCGCGAGGGGGAGCUAAUCCCAGAAAGCCGGUCGUAGUCCGGAUUGCAGUCUGCAACUCGACUGCAUGAAGCCGGAAUCGCUAGUAAUCGCGGAUCAGCAUGUCGCGGUGAAUACGUUCCCGGGUCUUGUACACACCGCCCGUCACACCAUGGGAGUGGGUUCCACCAGAAGUAGUUAGCCUAACCGCAAGGAGGGCGACUACCACGGUGAGAUUCAUGACUGGGGUG